rnacentral:rRNA from 1 species
AUUGAACGCUGGCGGCAUGCCUUACACAUGCAAGUCGAACGGUAACGGGCCUUCGGGUGCCGACGAGUGGCGAACGGGUGAGUAAUGUAUCGGAACGUACCUUUCAGUGGGGGAUAACGUAGCGAAAGUUACGCUAAUACCGCAUAUUCUGUGAGCAGGAAAGCAGGGGAUCGCAAGACCUUGCGCUGAUUGAGCGGCCGAUAUCAGAUUAGCUAGUUGGUGAGGUAAAAGCUCACCAAGGCGACGAUCUGUAGCGGGUCUGAGAGGAUGAUCCGCCACACUGGAACUGAGACACGGUCCAGACGCCUACGGGAGGCAGCAGUGGGGAAUUUUGGACAAUGGGGGCAACCCUGAUCCAGCCAUGCCGCGUGAGUGAAGAAGGCCUUCGGGUUGUAAAGCUCUUUCGGCCGGGAAGAAAUCGUAUGGGUUAAUACCCUGUGCGGAUGACGGUACCGGCAUAAGAAGCACCGGCUAACUACGUGCCAGCAGCCGCAGUAACAC